rnacentral:rRNA from 1 species
AGAAUGAACGUUGGCGGCGUGGAUUAGGCAUGCAAGUCGUGCGCGAAACGUAGCAAUACGUGGAGAGCGGCGAAAGGGAGAGUAAUGCAUGGUUAGCUACCCUCGGGACUGGGAUAGCGGCGGGAAACUGCCGGUAAUACCAGAUGAUGUCUUCGGACCAAACGUGUAAACCGGCCCGAGGAGGUGACCAUGUCCUAUCAGCUAGUUGGCAGGUACGCCUACAGGCAAAGCGGUAGUGGGCGUGAGAGCGUGCCCCCACUCACGUGGGACUGAGAACUGCCCAGACACCGUACGGGUGCUAGCAGUCGAGAAUCGUUCGGCAAGUCGGGCGCAAGCCUGACCGAGCGACGCCGCGUGCGGGAUGGAAGGCCGUUCGGUAGUAAACCG